CGCGUAGGCGGACUCUUAAGUCGGGGUGAAGCCCAGGGCUCAACCCUGGAAUUGCCUUCGAUACUGAGAGUCUUGAGUUCGGAAGAGGUUGGUGGAACUGCGAGUGUAGAGGUGAAAUUCGUAGAUAUUCGCAAGAACACCAGUGGCGAAGGCGGCCAACUGGUCCGAUACUGACGCUGAGGCGCGAAAGCGUGGGGAAGCAAACA
rnacentral:rRNA from 1 species